CACGUCAGCGUGCUUUGCUGAUGUGGCAACAAAUCGCGCCCUCGAGGACACAAUUUGUUGCCAUGUCAGCAAAGCGCGCUGAUGUUG
rfam:Gossypium raimondii chromosome 9, whole genome shotgun sequence.